UGGGGAAUAUUGCACAAUGGGCGCAAGCCUGAUGCAGCCAUGCCGCGUGUAUGAAGAAGGCCUUCGGGUUGUAAAGUACUUUCAGCGGGGAGGAAGGCGAUAAGGUUAAUAACCUUGUCGAUUGACGUUACCCGCAGAAGAAGCACCGGCUAACUCCGUGCCAGCAGCCGCGGUAAUACGGAGGGCGACAAGCUAGUUGAAAUUCGGAAUUACUGGGCGUAAAGCGCACGCAGGCGGUUUGUUAAGUCAGAUGUGAAAUCCCCGGGCUCAACCUGGGAACUGCAUUUGAAACUGGCAAGCUUGAGUCUUGUAGAGGGGGUAGAAUUCCAGGUGUAGCGGUGAAAUGCGUAGAGAUCUGGAGGAAUACCGGUGGCGAAGGCGGCCCCCUGGACAAAGACUGACGCUCAGGUGCGAAAGCGUGGGGAGCAAACA
rnacentral:rRNA from 1 species